rnacentral:rRNA from 1 species
GACGAACGCUGGCGGCGUGCUUAACACAUGCAAGUCGAACGGAAAGGCCCUGCUUGCCGGGUACUCGAGUGGCGAACGGGUGGGUAACACGUGGGUGAUCUGCCCUGCACUUCGGGAUAAGCCUGGGAAACUGGGUCUAAUACCGGAUAGGAGCCAUUUUUAGUGUGAUGGUUGGAAAGUUUUUUCGGUGUAGGAUGAGCUCGCGGCCUAUCAGCUUGUUGGUGGGGUAAUGGCCUACCAAGGCGGCGACGGGUAGCCGGCCUGUGAGGGUGGACGGCCACAUUGGGUCUGAGAGGCGGCCCAGACUCCGACGGGUGGCAGCAGUGGGGAAUAUUGCACAAUGGGCGCAAGCCUGGUGCAGCGACGCCGCGUGGGGGAUGACGGCCUUCGGGUUGUAGACUCCUUUCGCUAGGGACGAAGCUUUUUGUGACGGUACCUAGAUAAGAAGCACCGGCUAACUACGUG